UAUAUAUAUAUAUAUAUAUAUAUAUGGAGAGAGAAAGAGAGAGAAGUGAUUAGUCAUAGGAUUCAUUAGAAUCUAGGCACUAGAACACGUAAGAUGCCAGCAAUGGCUAGGUACAAUAACAUAGAGUUUACAAUGAGGUAAACAACCAUGAAGGCAUCAUGUAUUGGUAGAAUACUGUAGAUAUGGAAG